rnacentral:rRNA from 1 species
UACUUGACCUAGAGCGGCGCACAGGUGCGUAACGCGUAUGCAACCUACCUUUUACUGGGGGAUAGCCCGGAGAAAUCUGGAUUAAUACCCCAUGGUACCUACGAAUCGAAUGUUUUGUAGUUUAAAGAUUUAUCGGUAAGAGAUGGGCAUGCGUCUGAUUAGCUAGUUGGCGGGGUAACGGCCCACCAAGGCGACGAUCAGUAGGGGUUCUGAGAGGAAGGUCCCCCACACUGGCACUGAGAUACGGGCCAGACUCCUACGGGAGGCAGCAGUAGGGAAUAUUGGGCAAUGGUCGCAAGACUGACCCAGCCAUGCCGCGUGCAGGAAGACGGCCCUCUGGGUUGUAAACUGCUUUUAUCUGGGAAGAAAAAGUCCAUGCGUGGAAAAUUGCCGGUACCAGAUGAAUAAGCACCGGCUAACUCCGUGCCAGCAGCCGCGGUAAUACGGAGGGUGCAAGCGUUGUCCGGAUUUAUUGGGUUUAAAGGGUGCGUAGGCGGCUGAAUAAGUC